GGAUCACACAGCAGAAAUACCUGAUUCUGGAAUAAACCAUGAAAUCAUUCAUGUACGUUCUGGGACACACCUUUGGUGCCUUCUCAGAUGGAGCCCUUGGGCGCCUCCUUCCUGCUGAGCCCAGCAGCGAAGGCCCGAUGGUUGGUGAUGUUCUGAGAGUUUCCUAAGGGUGAACUCAUUUCACGCUAACAACAACAGCACCACCACCACCAACAACCACAUCACAAGGAAGAGAAAUUGAACAUUAUUUCCAGUCUCCCAGCACACUGGGAUGAUUUACCGGUAAUGCCAUUGUCUAAGGGCCUGGAUCCAUUGGCGACCCUCACCCCAGAAGCACCGUUCACAGAUGCUGCCCCGCAGUGCAUCAUUUACAUAGACUGCUGUGCUAGGACCCUACUUCUCUUCCCUUAGGAUAAUUAAAAAAAAAAAAAAAUCAAGAUUUUCUUUCCUAAUUAUCCCAUUUGGACCUAACACCUAAGUUUGAACCCUGGAGGAAUAGUGCGGUGGCGGAGGGCACUGUAUGGAAAACACUAGUGACCAAAGUCAUAGAAUGAAUAGUUACUGGGCACCUGUUCUGUUCCAGGCACUGUUUCAGUCACUGGGUCUAUAGGAGGGAACAGAACAGACAGAAAUCCCUGCUUUUGUGGGACUUAUUUUUCUAAGGAGGGAGACAAGACUAUAAACAAGUAUGACAUAUGAUGGUGGUAAGUACAGGAGAGAAAAAAGGUGGGGAAAAGGGAAUGCCUGGGUGGGGAGGGGAUGGCAGCAGUUGUAAUAGGGGCAGUCAGAGAAGGUUUCAUUGAGAAGGGGACUUUUGUGUAAAGACCUGAAAGAGGUGGCACCCUAGAUCAGAAGGAACGGUAAAUGCAAAUGUCCUGAGGUGGGAGCGUGCCUGGUGCAUUGGUGAAACCAGAAGGAGGCCAGUGUGACUGGACUGACCCAAAGGAUGUGUUGUAGGAGAUGAGGUCAGAGAGAUCAAGGAGUGGGACAGAGAGUGCAGGACCUUGUAGACCUUUGUAAGAACUUUGACUUUGACUCUGAGUGCGAUGGAGAGCCAUUGCAAGGUUUUGAGAAGAGCUUUUAGACUUAUUUUUGAAAAGAAUCACUCUGGCUGCUGUGUUGAGAAUAGAAUGGGGAUCAGGGAGGGCAAAGGCUGAAGCAUUGAACCGUUGGCUAUUGCAGGAAUCAAGGUGGGAACGGUGGUGUUUGGACAGGGAAGUGGCAGUGGAGGUAAUGAGAAAUGGUCAGAUUCUAGAGGAAUUUUGAAUAUAGGUAGGAUAUGCUAAUGGAUUGGAUAUAGCACAAGAGAGGAAGAGAGGAUGAUUAAGCAUAACUCCAAUGUUGUGGUCUGAGUAGCACACUUAAAAAAAAAACACCUUUUAUUAUGGGCAAUUUCAAACAUGUACAUAAGUAGACAAAAAUCGUGUAGGAAACCCCAGGUAGCUACCAACCUACCAACAAGCUUCAAAAAUUAUCACCUUAUGGUCAAUUUCAUUUUUUCUAUGCCCCACCCAUUCUCUGUCCCCUACUAUAUUGAAGCAAAUCUCAGUCUUACUUGCAUUUUAUAUGUAAAUCCAUCAGGGGGCGCCUGGGUGGCUCAGUUGGUUCAGCAUCUGCCUUCUGCUCAGGUCAUCAUCUGGGCGGGGGAGGGGGUCCUGGGAUCUACCUGGGUGGGGCUCCCUGCUCAGCGGGGAGUCUGCUUCUCCCUCUCUCCCUG